AGCAUCUAAGUAUCAUUAAUCCCGGACAGUCUUAUAUAUCGGAAAGACGAGCGAGUGCUCUCAUUUCUUGCUGACCAACGUUCGUAGAGACAACUCCAUCACUUGCUCCAGCGCGUUUUUCGAUUGCACUGAAUUCUACUUCGUUGGAUCUUUGCCCAAGGUAUGUUUGUUAAAUAUUUUGUUGACAUAAAUUUGUUAUCUCAGCGAGUUUUAUUUUUCAUGUUUGUGUUAUCGCGUUGCUAAAUUAUAGACAUGAUGAUAUUGUGUGUUGUUAAGUUUGAAUUGCGCACAUUAUGCAUAUCGGAAGUAAAUUGUUGCGUUUAAUUCGUGGUGCGCAUGAAAUAUUUUUAACAUUUUAUUAGGCAAAUUGUACUUACUGGCGUUCAAUGUACGCGUUUUGAGUCGUGGUAAAAUUGUACUCAAAGCUGCAAUUAUGGGCGUAACUUUGGUCUAAAUAAUGUAUUAAGGGGGCUGGGAAAGGCAAGAAACGUUUAUGAGGCUCCCCAUGGGUGGCGACAAAGGCACAAGCAUCGAGUGCCGAUGAUGCGAGACCCUGGGGGUAUUGGGGGAGGAGGAGGAGUAAUAAUUAGAACGUAUAUUUGCUCGACUAAUUUCUUGAGCAUUUGAUAAAUUUGCCCUAAGAAAUUGCCUUUCUCAAACAAUCAAACAUUAGGUUAAGGGCACCCCACGCCACCCCACGCCACCCACACCCCACGCCACCCACACCCCACGCCACCCACACAACACCCACGCCACCCCCAUCCCACCGACCCACACAAGUCGUUGCUUCGUUUCCAAUGGAGACGGCUGUUGGUAAUAUUCAUAGUUGUAAACCUGAGGAAAUACGUCGACGUUUCAACGAAAGCCUUUGCUAGUCGAAUGCGUGUAUUCGUUCGCAUAUGUUGCGGAAUGUUACGGCGCAUGUUUGAUUUUUUAUGGUAUUUUAUGGGUGUUAGUUUUCUUCAUCCUUGUGCCGGCGCGCGAUUUUCACACUUGAGAUGCAAUUAUCAUUUGUAAUAAAAUUCCAAAUAGUUGCUCCAAGCCUCCAAGGUCAGAGAUACAUUGCGUUAAUUAUCUUAUCGAAACAACAAUUGACGCGGUGGUGUCAUGCUGGGACCAGCAAGGACUCUGCUUGAUUGGCUGAUCAUAAACUGAUUAUUUGAUAUAUUAUGCGCAGACGUAAUGCGCCUUACCGUAUUAUCACCAGCUAAGGAACUUUUCUACUGAACCUAUAAAGGGACUUUCACCACUCGCGUGGGAUAUUAUCUUCAAGUGUAAGUUAAGACAUAUGUGUAGAAUGUGUAUACUUAUAAUACGAUCGACAUGUAGCUCAAUUAUCGUGGAGAUUACUGGACAGUACUUGCACAACUAUUCAUUUAUGUUGGGUAUAUUUCAACUAUACGCGUAUCUCUUUUCAAAGAUUCCUUAAUUUGUCUCGAUUUUUAUCAUAAAUCCGUAACCCUCAAAUAAGAUCAACUCUGACGUCAUCCUGGCUUGAUGACGUCACUUCCGGCGUAGUGACACAUUUGCAUGAUAGUUUUGCGCUAUUGAUGAAUGGGCUGUGGUGUGGGUGAUGCAUGCAGCUUGGCACGCUACCUUUCCAAUAAUCUGGAUUUUAUCAGACUCGAUUUGAAACUGGAGUGAAAUUUCCGCGAUAAGUUUGCGCUAUUGAUGGUUAGACUAUCGGACAGGUGAUGCAUGCAGCAUGGCACGUUACCUUUUCAACAAUCUGGAUUAAUUUUAUCAGGCUCGAUUCGAAAGGUUUGAGUGAUAAUUUUGCGCUAUUCAUAGGUGGCGUAUGAGAUGGGCGAUGCGUGCAGCUUGGCACGCUACCUUUCCAAAGCUGUGGAUUUUAUAAAUUCAGACGCGAUUCAUAACUGGCCUCAAGUUUGAACGAAAAUUAAAACAACAUGUAUUAGGGAAUUAACUUACGGAGCUGUAUCGAAGUUCGCUUGGAAUGUGAGAAUGUGAGCUAAGCCAGAUUAGUAUUUUUGCACAAGUGAACAUAACAAAUCCUACAAGUUGAUUGGUCAAAUUUGACGUAUUAAGCUGUUAUAUUCACCUACAGGUGAAUAUAACAAAACCGAAAUUUUUAAAAUGGCGGCUAGCCGUUUUGUGAAAGUUAUACUGAUAAAGAAAUAAGCGAAAUUAAAAUAAAUUCAGUCCCAAAAAACACAAAAAUACUAAAACAGUUAUUCGCCUCAGGCUCGGUGAUUAUCGGGGAAUAUACACCUCGACUUCGUCUCGGCGAAUAUUCCCCGAUAAUCACCUCGCCUUGGGCGAAUUAUUGUUAAAUAUUCAACUACCUCUGACCCUUCCGUAGAUUGAAAGAUUAAAUUAACACGCUUUUCCCCGGCCGCGUGUAAUCCUCCUUCUAUAGAAAGCCCAAGAGGUGUAGGGUGUUAUUAAUUAAUUUUCCCAGGACAAGUCCGGAAUUGCAGUGUGCAGUGUCAGCUGAUAUAAGUCGAGUACUUUUUAUCUCUUAGUCGUGAUGGCAAAAUCCUAAAAUCUUGUUUUCUCUGGAGGCAGAAUAUUGAGUUCCCAUAAAUGUAAUCGGAUUUUCUCUGUUUCAUUAGCUAUGUCAUGGUUAUAAAUGAUUUUGUAUAUCAAUAAGCUUAUUUUACAGAAUCAAUAAAUUGAGAAAACAACUUUUAUAAAAAACUUAAAUAUAGCUCUUCCAUCUUCGAAUAUUUUGGUAUUGAUUUUAUCUCAAAUCAAAUCAAAUCAAAUCAAAUCAAAUCUCAGUGUGGCUUGAAAAAACUAAACUCUGACGAUUUACGCACGUCGUGGUAGUUUACCCAGUAAUUUACAUGGAAUAGGCAACGACAGUUCAUUUAAAGGCACAGUUCAGCCUUUUGAAUGAUGGCCGGUAUUUAAGGAGCAUUACAAGCCUUUUAAUUGAAAAAACUAACUAGGAAAAUGAAUUAAGCAUAAUUCAAAAUCAGUGAACUCAAUGUUUUUAACAUUAGAAAUGUUUAAAAAUGGUAAAAUCAUUGAAAUCACUGAUCUUGAAUUAUGCUUCAAACACUCAUUACAUCACAAAUCAUGUCAACCAUAAUAUGUCACGUGCAGUGGCUUUAAACCUGAUACAACACUCCUAAUUAGUAUUCUUUAUAUAAAGAAUACUAAUAAGGCAGUGUCUAUUGUAGUCGUGUCCUCAUUGGUAUUUUUUAUAUAAAGAAUACUAAUAAGGCGGUUUGUAUAGUCGUGUUUGAAGCCGUUUAAUAAACUUGCAGGUCGUGUUUUAUUAGGUUUAAAGCCACUCGCGCUGCGUGCUCGUGUCUUUAAACCUAAUAAAACACUCCUGCUCGUUUAUUAAACAGUACUUAAUUGAUUUUCCUAGUUAGUUUUUUCAAUUAAAAGGCUUGUAAUGCUCCUUAAAAACCAUCAUUCAAAAGGCUGAACUGUGCCUUUAAGUCCCCAUUUCAGGUGCUAUUUUCUCCUUCUGAUGGAUGUGAACGAGUGGACGAGUUAUGAGUGUUCAGAUGAGGGUACGUGUAUACUCAGAACAUUCGUAACUCGUCCACUCGUUAACAUCCAUUAGAAGCAGCCUCGUCCCCGGCGCUUUGAUGUUGCGUGACGCGCGCGCGGGAGGACACGCGUGGCGGGAAAGGAAAAAUUCGGAGCGAAGCUAACGCACCUCGAUUCCCGCGCGUGCGUCACGCAACCAGUAAGCACAUCAAAGCGCCAGGGACGAGGCUGCAUUAGAAGAAAAUCCACUAGACGGCGCAGCAAAAUUUGAAAGUGUUAACGGGCCUUUACACCACUGCACCUUUUGUGAUAUAAUCCCAUACAAAACAGAUAACAAUACUGAUAAUGGUAUUGCCAAUGUUCAUUUAGAUAUUAGAAGAUUAUCUCAGUAGGCUGAAAUUUCGAUUCAAAACUGCAGGAAUUGAGUGCAAAGGACACAAUUGUUUUAAGCUUUCAAAAAUGUAUUAUAAAAAUUUAGAUUAGGCCAAUGAAAAUUGAUAUCAUGUUUCUCGUCCCCGCCCGCAUGGGAUUUAUCUGCCGCACGAAAAUUUUUCAUUAUUCAUUAUUUUUGAAAAAUAGGCUUAACAAAACACCAAAUUGAUCUCCUGAUCAAAGUUUUAUUGCUGCAUUCCGCAAGCGCAACUCAAAUUGUAUCUUUCUAAAGAUAUUACUCGCCAGAAUGCCUCUAUUUUUCAUGUCAGCCCUGGUAUUAAAGUCAUUAAAUUAAAAUGAAUUAUAGACCGAUGUACUUCAGAUUUUUAUGGGUUUUUUUACUGGGUCAAGGAAAUUAUUGACAAGCAGAAUUCAAACACAAAAAAUAAUGAAAAAUGAAAAAAUCCCGCUCCAAAUUUUUGAAAAUUGUGGACGAGAAACAUGAUAUCAAUUUUCAUUGGCCUUAUUAAAAAGUACCUCGGAAACCUCAUAUUUGCUGCAAUGUCAAAAUUAGUGUCUCAGAAAUUUGCAUGAAAUCAAAUAUUUUUUUAAAGAUCUGGCUGUAGAGAGAGAGACCUUCUCUAAACUUUCACAGGCUUUUUCCAGGCCGACAGUUAGUUCAUCAGAGACUUCUUCUGAACUUCAGACCUUGAGAUCGAUCUAGAUUGGAGCCUGGCCAGUUCCUUGAUUAGCCGAAUUAAAAUGCUAGGCUGACAAGAAUUAGCUCGGUUGUGAAACGUGACCGACCCGAGACCGCCUCACGAGGUGGUCCAGUUUAGCCCGGUGUCGAAUCAAUCUCAUCUCGUAUUACAUGAAGUCUUCAGUGAAGUGAAGAGUGUCUUUGACGUAUGUGUUUCACGAAGAAUCAGGAAUUUUAUAAAAUAAAAUAGAGAAAAAAACUUACAUAAAAUUUAUUAUAUGAGCAAAAAAUACAAACAAACAAACAAACUUUAUUCAAACAGAGCUAUACCAAUUAAUACUGGUACAUAGAAUACAAAACAUUACCGAACUAGAUUACAAAUUAGAUUUAUACUAUUUAUAAUUGAUGAAAAUUUUUGAGGACAUCCAAUGCCACCACAGAUUUGUCUUUCAUUGUAAUAACAUACAUAAACAUAAGUCAUGAUUAUUAGAAGAACAAAACGAGUGAUUUAUUUGGUUCAGCUGAUAUGUAUACUGAUGGUUGAAAACUCCAUUAUACCAUUAGCCUACAUCUCACGCUCAAACAGUACUGAGUUAGCACGUCAAAUAUAAAAGUGGCCCAAUUACUCUAUUAUAUUGUUUGCCUUAGAAUUAUUCUAUCAAAAUAACCAUCGUCCCCAACUAAUCUCAUUCGAGAUAAGAUUACAUUGCAGUAAAAGACAGGAAAUUAAAAUCUGUGUAUUCUGGCAAAUGCUCAACCCUGCACAAUGCUCAGUUUUACAGGCUUAAGAUACGCUAGGAAUAUACAAUGAACUGAGUUAUCUCUGGACGGUUUUAUAGUUAUUACACAGUGGGGAUAUGGCCCCCUUUUUGUAGUCUGUUCCGCCCAAAAUUGAGUAUUAGGUUUUCUUUUUCUCUUCCUCUUGUUCAGCUGUGAUUGCUUGUGAUGCAAGGCUGGUAAACUGGUCUUCUUUUCGUUCUGGUGACGCUCUGUAGACAGGUACGACUGUUUGAAACAUAUGACACUGUAUUUAUUACUGUAUAUAUUGGCACGAAUAUAUAUAGAAUAAUGAUCAAAUAUUUCCUAUUCAAUCCUAUUGUUUCUGAUAGAAUAACAAACAUGGAAACUAGAAAGAGUCCAUGGCAUUUAACUACUAGAUAGAUAUCUUUUACAUGAUAUAUAAUUAUCAAAAAUAAUAAAAUAUAAUAUUUGGGCUAGGAGCCAUAACGUCUGGAUUACACUAUCAAAGUUUCUGUGAUCACAGUAGGAAUUUUCACAGUAAAUUCUAAGUUUUGAAGGAUUUGUAAGAAACGUUUGUGGGAAAUGACUCAUAGAUUUGAGAUUAUUAGUUAGGUUAUUCCAAAAGAUUAUUAAAAGAUUGAAGAUUAAAGUUAUUUCAAUAAGUGUAUAAGUGUAUAUAAGUGCAAUUAGGAUUUAAGCUGAAGAAGAAACGAUCCUGCUUAAUUUAAUUUCUUUAUAUUAUCCUGUCUGAUCCGUAAUAGUUUGUUAUAUUUUUGGUUACUUAUCUCAUUUACUUGCUCUUAUUGUAUCUCAUUUUGUUCACAUACUAAGAGCAUUGCUUUAUUCCUUCCGCUCAACAUGCAUGCCGGAACCGCCGAGCAGGAAACUCUUCAGUUUGAAAAUUAGUUUUGACUGCAGAAUAAAGGCAAGUAAGCUGUACUGCAGUGAGGUAAAGUAUUGACAGUCAGCCCUCUGAAUGUAAAACACCAUACCGUAGUUGAACGUUAACAAUCUCUUGAAAAACUUUUGAAAAUCCAUAGAAUGGAAAUUGUAUGGACCUUUAUUGGAAAUAGAAUGGAUUUUGAUUGUCCAUAAUAAUUGUAUAUUUCCAUACUAUGCAUAUAGUAUCAUAGGCGUACCGGGCUGAUGCUUUUCGAGGGGGAGGGGGCCGGGGGGGGGAGGCAGUUGAAGGUUUGCCCGAAUUUAAUGUGAAUUUAACCUAUUUUCAAAUUGCAAAUUUCAUAGCUAGUGUGGAUUUCACAUCCCACCCCCCCAGUGAAUGGUACGGAUUGUGACAUUGUUUACGGCUGACGAAACAGAUUACAUGAUCCGCGAAGGUUUGAUUCACCAAAAGUGCUCCAACUGAUCUGGCUAGGGGGCGGACCAUUCGAAAAAGUGACGAGGAGAGGGUGCCGGGGAAUGGAGUGGGGGUUGCGGUACCCUGCAGGUUCCAGAGCCGUUCUUGUGCCGCCGUAUUAUAAAUUACGUAAUUUGUACGAAGGAAUGAGCGAGAAUAGGCCGGAAUUAAGAUACGAGAACCUCUGGCAAUCAGGGUUAAGGUGAGGGGGGACAAAAAUUAUCUGCCCAAAAGAAAAACACCAUGCAAAGGGGCAAGCAAAGCAAAAAAUACCUUUAGUAUUCCGCAAAUUCCAGCACAAGUGCAGACGAAUCGAAAAAGUCGUCAGCACCUCCCCUUUCCAUCACUUUUCUAAAGGGCGGUCCAUAAUAAGAUGAAACGUGAACGGGAAAAGUACCACUUGAAGUUGGCGUGGCUGAGAAGGUCGAAAACGUGAAUACUUCUUUUGUGACGUCCAAGUGGUUUUGAUUGAACGUGAGUUGAGCGAUUAUACUCGCCUUGGAUAAACACCAAAAGGCGGUCAAUAUUUGAAUGCAAUCUGCUCUUGGUCUGAGCAUAGUUAAUAUAACUAUGGUCUGAGCCGCCAUAAAAAUAUUAAAACACAACAAAGUCAACAAAAUAAUUUCAAGCGCAGUUCUGGAGGUUAUAGUGACGGCUACUUUAACCUCCCUUAACCUUCGCAGAAACAUCAAAAUCCUUUUAAUCUUUUCAGGAAGUUCAAAUCACGACAGUUUGUAUUUCGAAAGAUGCAGUGUUUGAUAGAGUUUUUGACAGAAUAAUAUCAGCUUGCAUUUGAUAAGCUUCCUAUGUCCGGAUAUCAAAUACGCUUGCUGAUAAAGAAGUCUCUAGGAUAAUACGUGUCUUUAGUCACACUAGGGCGUCUCUGAGUAUAUAAUGUGUUUGAAACAACGUUUUGUUUGAAUUUUAUUGAAAAAUACGAGAAUCAGCAGGCAGUGAGCGAUGCACAAAGCAUACUGAAGCACAAUACAAGCUAGUACAUAAAGGCUAACCCCGUUCUCCCAGUCGGAAUCUGGCAAAAGCCACAUCCCAGUUCAAGCUGCAUUUUCGAGGUAAGCGUUGAUUAUGAUGUAUUUUUAUUAAAACAUAGUCCACUCAUCUUGUAAUCAGUGUUUCAAAUACACUUGUAGUAAUAUUUGUUUUAAGCCAAUUUUAAAACAAAGCUUGUCGUGAUUAAGUUAAUAUCCUUGUACUGACAAGGCCCCAUGUGGUAUCAUAUAAAUUUCUCUGUUUUCUCUACCCGGCACUACCGAGAAUACUUUCGACAAAUAUGGUUUAGUUUUGCCGUAUAUGUCCAUUCCGUGUUUGUAGUUUUAACAAAAUCAACCGCUGCGCAUUCGCGUGGCAAUUUGCGGCGUUCCCGUGCGAUUCUGUCGUGAUUUUGGAAACGUUAUGUCUACUCGAAUUGUGUCACUUGAGGACAGCCUUUUUAUGUAUCGAGUCCUGUCAACAAGCUCUUGACGAUGUUGUCGCUUAUCACAUAAAUUACGCUGACUUGAUCGGUUUGCGUUUCAACUGAAUAUACUUAACAUCUUCUUAACAUCUCGAGCGCAGGCGUCAAAAUGUUACAGUCGGUUGAGGUAUUUCUCCAACAGUUUUAAUUUUUAACCCUUUUCGAGCAGUUCAGAUACAAAUAACGAUAGCUUAUUGCAGAAUACUACGUGUAUUAGACCUCCUGUUUGGGAUGUCGCAUGAAUUACAUCAAUGACCUAACACCUUCAUUGAGCCAGAUUUGGUUCAGAGUUUCUAAUUAUUUCAACCUUGGCAGUAUCAUUUGGAUAUUAUACAUGUGAUAAAGUACGUACUACGCUAGAGAAAUUUUGUUGAUCAGAAGUAUUCUUUGAAAGUAUUUUCUCUUGUAUAAAGACAUGAUUUUCCUAGUUGUGAACCGAUAAAUCUGUCCUGUUGUCAACAAAAUCCUAAUGUCACGCCCUCCUACUUAGGAUUUUCAUUAAUGGCUAGUGCUGAAGCACUCUUGCGCGUUCAGUAUGUCUUUUCGUGUCGUCUAAACGACAUUGUACGCAGAAAUCAAACGUGUCGGCUUCUUACUAAAUAUCUUACCAACAGCCGGCCUGGUACAGUUAAUUUGUUACAAAUGUACAAAAUGAUGUCAAAAUGUAUGUAAACAUUUAAUAAGCUCGUUAUUUAAUGAAGUUAUGCGUCAACGCCACAAGCCCGCGGUGAAAAAUUUAAAUGAUAAACACGUACUUACAUCGAAACAUUUUAUAUCAAAGUGCGCAAUAGCGAUACAAAUGGUAAUUAGAUUUAAGUACCGCAUGCUCCAUACAUCUGUGGUUGGAGAUUUGCAGUAAGGCUGUCCUGCUAUUUCACUUAAAGAAAAAGAGUAAAUCUUUGUGUAUUUCUUUGGAAGAGUAUACUAUACUCGAUGUAUUUCUACUUUAUUAGAAGCAUAACGGGUCAACGUGCUCGAUUGUCGCGCAAAUUUUCCUGCUGUCACAUUCUUGAAUAGCUCAUGGCCAUUAGAAACGGCACGAUGUGUUAAAUGAUGCACUUAAUUGUCACAAGAGGACUGACGCACGGCCCGCGCAGAGGACGCAGAGAAAAAAAUGCAAAAUAGGAAACGACAGCUCUUCAUUAACAGUGUAAAGUUUAUUCUAACGUUCGUUUAUGGUCAGGAAAACAUUUUUCUCAUAGGAAGACUGACUCUCUUAGUGAAAGAUUAACAACAUUGUAACACCCAUAUUUAUUACUGUAUAUAAGCUUAUGUGAUGGGUAAUAGCUUCUGUAUACAAAGGUUCUGAAAAGUUAUAAUAGAGAUACAGACAUACAGUUUGCUGUAUUUAAGCACUUGUUUCUUCGUAAAUAUGUUCAUUAAUGCGGAGUACAAGUUCUUGAAAAGUUUGGGAGUCAAAAAUCAAAUACAUUUUACGAGAUAUUGAGUAAUUAACGGAUAUGGGCGAGACUAUAUAAGCUACUCAAUUCUUUAUGAUUUUCAUAAAAUUACUUUGUGUACAACGUGUGAAUUUCACACUUGCUUAUAAUGUACAUAGGCUUGGUCCAGCCGUUAAUAUGUACAUGGCAGACAUGAUGAGAUUUCCGCAUCGGGAACACAAACUUAAGGUGUGUGAAAAAUAAUUUAAUCAAAAAUCAAUUACGGAUUGGUCAAGUAUUAAUUAUUAUACGGGUUCAGUUUGACUUCAAUUACCAUUAAUGGACUAUUAACCAAUCAGAUGCGUUUGAUAUAUCAGAUUAACCAAUCAGAUGCGUUUGAUAUAUCAGAUUAACCAAUCAGAUGCGUUUGAUAUAUCAGAUUAACCAAUCAGAUGCGUUUGAUAUAUCAGAUUAACCAAUCAGAUGCGUUUGAUAUAUGCGAUUAACUAAUCAGAUGCGUUUGAUAUAUCAGAUUAACCAAUCAGAUGCGUUUGAUAUAUCAGAUUAACCAAUCAGAUGCGUUUGAUAUAUGCGAUUAACCAAUCAGAUGCGUUUGAUAUAUCAGAUUAACCAAUCAGAUGCGUUUGAUAUAUCCGAUUAACCAAUCAGAUACGUUUGAUAUAUCCGAUUAACCAAUCAGAUACGUUUGCUAUAUCAGAUUAACCAAUCAGAUACGUUUGAUAUCUGCGAUUAACCAAUCAGAUGCGUUUGAUAUAUCCAAUUAACCAAUCAGAUGCGUUUGAUAUAUGCGAUUAACCAAUCAGAUACGUUUGAUAUAUGCGAUUAACCAAUCAGAUACGUUUGUUAUCUGCGAUUAACCAAUCAGAUGCGUUUGAUAUAUGCGAUUAACCAAUCAGAUGCGUUUGAUAUAUGCGAUUAACCAAUCAGAUGCGUUUGAUAUAUGCGAUUAACCAAUCAAAUGCGUUUGUUAUCUGCGAUUAACCAAUCAGGUGCGUACUAAGCCAGUGAGAGGUAGAGGAAGUCAAAUCUGAAACUCUCUAUAAGUUAACAGUUGCAGAAAAUAAAUUACGAUCCCUUAUUGAUGAAAAGCUGAAUCAACAAUUAUAUGCAACCUAUCAUUAAUGUUAUAGUUGGAAAAUAACAAAACAGUUUAAAAUUAAGUUAAAUCACGUUCAGAUUUCCGUAAAUGCAUUUUUUUGGCCUGCACGAAGAUCCUAGAACCGAAAAAAUAAAUUUUCGAGCUGAUAAAUGUAUUCAUUCUUGGCCCAUGUUAUCGUUCAAAAUGCCAACCAUUGCUUGUAAUUCUUCAUCUAACAUUUUAAAGAGCAUUGAUGUUUCUUCGAUACAAUUAACUUAAUAAUUUUUCAGUUCCUCUUUUUUGAAAUGCAAUUAAGUUCCUUCUUUGUGAGAUAGCGACCAUGCAAAACAGUUGCUCUCUUGAAGUUCUCCACAGGGAGUGAACUUCACGCUGACAUCAAAACAAUAUGUUGACACAUUAUUUUAUAGCAAUGAUAAGUUAUUCUUUGAGUUCUUCAAAGGUGAAGUGAUAGCAAUUUCCUGAUAACGAUAGAACACUCUACAGGGAUAAGGUUGUUCAAGCUUUCAACCUCCCGCUCAAUUUGCUGCCGCAAAUGCAUGUUUAAGGGGGGAUGGGGUAAUUGAAGAAGAGCUUAUCUAAAUUUUGGGGAAAUGUAGUACUAUUAUUAUUAUUAUAGUGGUAGUAUGUUGCACUGGUAAAAAUCUUUAUUUACAGUUUAAAAAACGUAAAAUAUAAAUCAAGCUUUCGGACUAAGCGUCCAUCGUCAGGAUUAAAAUGGCAAAAAAGAUCAGUCGCUUAAAUACUAUUUACAUGUCAAUGACCUAACUAAAAUACUAGGUUUUUUGAAUAAUUAGACUAAAAGACAAAAGAGUCAUAAUAGAGUCAUAUAAGCGUAAUAUAGAGUCAACAAAAGAGCCAUAAUAAGACACUGGAUAAAAGAGUCAUAAUAGCGUAUUAUAGCGUCAACAAAGCAUUAUUUAGUCUUUAUCAAUUUUCUCUAUUAUGACUCUUUUGUCUUUUAGUCUAAUUAUUCAAAAAACCUAGUAUUUUAGUUAGGUCAUUGACAUGUAAAUAGUAUUUAAGCGACUGAUCUUUUUUGCCAUUUUAAUCCUGACGAUGGACGCUUAGUCCGAAAGCUUGAUUUAUAUUUUACGUUUUUUAAACUGUAAAUAAAGAUUUUUACCAGUGCAACAUACUACCACUAUAAUGAAACUUCCUGGUAACAUAACCACACUAAAUUAUUAUUAUUGUUUAAGAAUAUUUAAACACAGUAGCCUUUCACAAUUAGUGAUUUUCAAAGGGCCGUAUAUCACACAAAAAUAUUAUACAAUAAAUAUUUACAACUAUAUGAUAAAGCGUACUGCAAUCCGCGGCCAAGCACAAAUUUACAGUCAAUUAAAAUAAUGUUUAAGAAUUUUAGAAAAUGAAUUUACUGAUUAGUACAUGUCGUACGCUGUCAUCUAUAGUUAAACGAGCAUGGUUUACCAUUAUUGUGAACGGCCUAGACUUGCUUCGACUGUCUGCGUCUCAAAGGGCUUGUUAUUUCGACGUUGUAAGAGAGCGCAAAAAUGCGGGCGGGAGGAAUUUACGCGCGGACAGCGGGCACGCAGGAGGCGAGAAAUUCGGGAAGCGGUUGUCGUGGUUGAUCUUGAGCAACCUCGUUCUCAGGCUCUUACCUUCGCACGCCCCAAGCUAAGAUAAAUUAUUUCAAUAACACAAACAAACCCACCCCUCUUCUACUGUACGUGGGCUGGAGCAGUCACCUCGGGCUGUUUGGUAUCUGGCCAAAAUUCAUGAAGAAAAAUAUUCAUACUUACGCUAAUACGCUCAGCAGAAGUAUUUGGCACCAAAUCGAUUGUGUUUUUGAUAUUAUAUAUUCAAAAGGAAACAGUGUUACUUUUGCAUUAAAAAACACUGAGCAUAUUUGUGUCGAACCUUGCUAGCUAUUUUUACGUCGGAUUUACUUUUUACUUUCAAUGCCGGCCCUGUGACGCCGACUUAUGUAUAUAAUUCUGUAUACAGUAAGCGAUAAAAAAACAAAAAGCUAAAGACGCAAAAAAAUACCGCAUUUUACAAGGUGUGAAGUACCUCCAAAAUAGGUUUGAAGCAAAUCAACACGGUCAAUGUUCACUGUGAGUCUGUAACCUUAGUGAGUACCUUACCCCAUUUUUGGACAACUACAGAUCCAUGGUGACAUAAUCUUGCUAACUGCACCAGACAUUCUGGCAAAAUGCCUUUGCGUGGGAAAAAUAUAAUAUCCGACAGAAAAUAAACCUUUGAUUACAAAUGCAGCUGUUUUCUGUAUUUUCGUUUUCGGCGUCGCAUUUUCUUGUGCAAAUUAUAUAUUUGCAUGGUGCGCGUCUUCGAGUGUAGCUUAUUGUCUAAAAAUAAAGUAGGGAAGAAGAAUAUCUUUCUACCAAAAGAACAUUUCCAUGUUGACUUUAGUACGCACUAGUCUUUAUUUUUAUCACAUUUCCUGUGUUUGGUAGAAGGUAGUGAAAGGUUUGAAUUUCGUUUGAUAAAACGCGUUUCCUUAAAAGGGAUGUUUAAAUAACUCUGCGCGCUGUUUGAAGAUGCGCAACUUUGCGCGCGCACGAGAUGGAAUGAUCAUCGUUGAGGUUUUGUAUCAAAAAAUCUUGUUCUUAGUAAGAACAAGAUUUUUUGAUUGGCACGCCUUGUCGUACUUUUCAGUAGCGUGGACACACCAAGAAUUCAAGUUAGCUCGUUUUGCGGAUAUGUUUUGUUGCAGAAAUAAACAAACUAAUGUUCAUUAAAUAACAUAGCCUCCAGGGCCACUUGACUGGGUUGACUUCGAUAAAUCAUCAGUAUUAAAUGUAUGGUUGUAUCAUUUAUAACACUUUAUAACAGAACAAGUGCUUUGCUAUUAUAUCAGAUUUAUCACUCAAUCACCCAGGAAUCUCUGAUUACUAAACGCAUGAAUGAAGUUCAUUCUUCGCUAUAUAGUUUCUCUACAGCGCUUGUCUAUUUGUUUCAACUUCAAAAACAUGUGUUAGUGGACAAGUUUAGAUCUGCAGAGCAGGGAAUAGUGACGUUUAUUAAUUUUCCUCUCUUCCGCUCUGUCGAGGUGUGAUUAUAAAUUAAGGCGUUGAUGAUAUGGAAUUUAAUAGUAUAUUUGAUUCUCCUGAGUGAAAACAAGACUUUGGGUGGCUGGUUGGAUGGGGAUAAGAGGUCUGUAGUUAUGUUCAAAAGGAAUACAAAAGUGAUUUACUAUAAUUCGAUUUGUUUAAAUUUAAAUGCGUCUUGGUGAUUUUUGAAUCCUUUUGAAUUGUAAAUUCUUCAGGCUAUAAUAUUAACAUAUUUGCGUGCACUCAUGGCUUAUUGUAACGCGAUUUACUGUAUAGCUGAUGAUGAUACACGUACACAGAUACAAAUUAAACUUUAUUUAGACACGCUAGCCUCAACAACUGCUAAAACAAUGAGCUGGUUUUCACGAAGGACGUGAUACACGCAGUAUGUUACAUAAUAAGUUGAUAAUUAAAGUAAGAAAUAACGAAAGUAGAAGCAAGAGAACACUAUGAAAAUACAUAUCAUAGACAAAUCCAAAGAUGAAAAUCGAUGAGCCAGUUUAAGUAUAAAAUGCGUGGCGAACCUCUUGACCACUGACACUCGAAUGACUCAAUCUUGGCCAAUCGUGCACGGAUGGAGAUCUCUGACACUUGCGUACUUUAUUCAGUACUUGCGGGAACCACUGAGUAUUUUCAUAAAAUACUAUACAACGGUAACUCCGAAUAAAGUAAGCAUUUUGAUUCAACGUUUCGACUUUAUUUAGUCAUCAUCAGGAAUCCUGAUGAUGACUAAAUAAAUUCAUCGGGAUUCCUGAUGAUGACUAAAUAAAGUCGAAACGUUGAAUCAAAAUGCUUACUUUAUUCGGAGUUACCGUUGUAUUGUAUUUUAUUCAGUACACAUAAAGGGAUUCAAUCGUGCAAAUGUAUUAGUUUUGCUCGGGAAUUCUGGAAUAUUAUUGUGAAGCCAACACAGUUUGCGCGAUUAUGCAUUUACGCAUGUAUAUUAUUUGUUACUAGAUUUAUAAACCAAUCAGAUGUAAUCGUAUUUCACUUGUUUUUCAUGUAUAGUAAUUUCUGCUGAAAAGUAUUGGAUUACUGUUGCGGCCUAGGACCUACAGUAGCAGGCUAGGAUUUCUAUGAAUGAGGAUUACGGUGAUCUUUACUGUAACGAUGGCGCAGGAAAUACCUGGCAGAUGUGUAUAGAAUUACUACGCUUGCCAUUUUAAUAUGAACACAUAACCUCCAAUUCAUUAUGUUUGAAACUUAUAGAAAUUUUAAAGAUUGCGUAACAUUGAAUAGAAUCUAAAGAAACUGAAGAAUCAUUUACUGCCAAACAUAUUUGAUCAUAUUUGCGCAACAAAAAACAGCCUGUAAUUUGCGCGAGCACUAAAAUCUUCAUGCACUUUGUUAGCCUGCAAAACAGGCGCAGGCUAACACCUUCGUGUGUGCAUUUGUGACAUUAAAUAUCACACGUCAAACGAUAGUCAAAGAAAAAAUGUAAGCUAUAUAAGGCAAUAAAUAAGAGUAAAAGUAAUAAAAGUCUUGUUAUAUUAAACUGAACUGUAAUGCAUAAUGAUUUGCCGGUAUUGCCUGUAGGCUAUGAAUGUCUUGAAUAUUGCAAUGUCUAAAGUUCUUCGCACUUUCUCAGAAUAAAACACUAAGCUGUAAAAUCUGUUCUAUUUUUGUCAUAUUUAAUCAUUCGAAAUAUCUCUUGGAAUUUUGUUUUCGUACAAUAUGUUUACAUGUGUCACGAAUUUCAGGAUCUCACGACAAAUGCAUGAAGGAAUAUUUUAUUAAAGCGAAAUAUCAAAAUGACCAAAGUUACGACGACUUGAUAUAUUGCGCUUUUGUGGUAUCAAUGUUGUAUGGCUAUUCUGAAGGGUCAGAUUUUUUUAUUAAAACUUUAUUCAAAGACACUAUAGCCCCAUCAGCAAAAGCAAACAAAACACAUAGCUACAGUUGGACGGUUUGCCAUUUUUAACCGCAUAGAGGCUGUGUAACAUCAGCCGGAAGUUCAUUCCAUAACUCAGCCCACGUUGUAUUUUCAACGCAGCCGUUUGGUCACGAUUUUUGACAUUUCUUACGAUUUUUGCAAGACUUCUGUAUGUCUCCAGUAAUUUCUAUCGUUUGAAAAAGUUCUAAACCAGGCUCGUUUCUUCCCUUAUUAGUAGUGUUAAGCUGUUUAAUGCGCUUGCAGUACUUCAAAUAAUCUAUAAAGCCGUAUAUUAAUAUUAUUAAUUUAAUUUUACCAUUUACGGUCGAAUGUAUAUCAUUCUAUAUACGCUUGUCUAUCCUGUGUUAAUGAUUUUACUUCUAUAUAGGUUGCCACUUUCAUCGUCUGUGUCUAUAUCUGAACAAUACUCCUAGACGGUAGAGAUUACUUGGCUCUGGUUUACUUCAUUCUUGGUGUGGUUGUCUGAACUAGCAACCAGAAUAUCGUGGUUAGACUAAGGUAAGCGAUACCAGUGAAAAUAUGCGGAAUGAACCACAGACUUCGUCCUGUUGCGCUAUUUUGCCAAUAUCGGUGGGUUGAAAGAAGUCAUUCAUGUCGGUUAUAUAGGCAUACUGCCUAACAGAGCCCAAGCGUAAAAUAAAAUAAAAUAAAAUAAUUUUAUAUUGAACUGCUCCAUCAGGUUUAAACAGUUCUCCUUAGUGGUCCAGUAACGGUUCUCUCUGGUUGGAUUCCUGCGAGAGGGCCUAUAUAUAGUUACAUUUUUGGCAACUGCUCCCGGGUUAGCUCUAAGAAAUGUAUAAAAUUCACACUGUAUAAAAUUAGUGCCUGAUUGUCCUCAUUGGUGGAACUGAUGUUGUUUUCAAUUCCCAUUUUGGCGAUUCAUUUUCUAAUCCAUGGCAGUUCCGCAAAAAUAAUCCUAUGCCAAGAUUAAUAGAAGUUUUUCCUUGUGAAUUACUUGCUAACAGUACAGUUUGAACUUUCUCUUAAGCCUGGCUUCCAUAUAUGAUCGUAACGGUCGUAAAAAUCGAGUCACGAUCUUUCUCAACGCCGGCCAGUUUAUAAUAGUUUAUACCUGUGAAACACAUAUAAAUGAUAAGUAUUCUCUAGUUAUAAUCACUUCGUGUAUUUUCAGUUCUAAAAUGUUGUAUUUCGGCUGAUGAGAAAGAUCGUGACUCAAUCUUUACGACCGUUACGACCAUAUGGAAACCAGGCAUUAGAAGCAAAAAUCUAAACUAAAACGCGCAACUCAAGUAAUUUCUAUUCACAAUUCCAGAAAUUUUUUUGCAACUGCAAGAAUUGAAUGUUACUGUAGCUGGAAGGCCCACGCACUGACCACGUGUCCGCAACCUUGUCUGGUUAGGUAGAUGGGCGGAUGAUCCUGUAAUAAUGAACAUCUUUCCGGGUUGUUGACUUGUUGUUCUCUCAUUAUUCACACAAAAGCCCUAACACCUGGGUGUUAAUAUGUUCAAAAUGGCAUCAAGGCGUUUGGGGAAAAACAACAACAACUAAACGAUAAGGAACAUGGGGUCUGACGUGUGCGGGGGCGAGCGUGGUAUCCGAUCUCUCUAAUUCUAUCAAAAAUAGAACGUCCUUAUCUUCGAUAUCGAGACGAGUUUUUUUUAUAAACUUUGUUCCAUUCUAUACCAACAUUAUCAAAAUUUUUUCGAUGGAAAUUUCCAGUGGAAUUCAGUUUUACAUUUCUUAGACCUAACCGGGAACCGUUGCGAAAAAUGCAACAUAGAAUGUAGGCCUUCUGCCUCUAGCAGGAAUUGAACCUGUGAUUCCGGUGUAGUGCUCUAACCAACUGAGCUACAGAGGCCAGUUGUCGAGCUUAAGGCCCUGUCACACUAUUGCGUACGAGAGAAACGUAUGAAAAGCGUAUGAAAAUUAAUGAAAUAAUUUUCAUACGCACAAAAAUCCUUUCAAAUGCCAGCAUAUGAGUACCGUACAUCUGGCGUACCUCUAGCGUAUUCAGCGUGUACCUAGAAUAUGCUUAUCGUAUAAAGUAUAUGACGCCGGUUCAAUACGCACAAAAUGUUUGAGCAUGCUUAAAAAAUUUUUUCUGCCUCGCCGUAUGCCAGCGUAUACCACCGUACGCGACCGUGCUUAAAACGUAUACAACCUAUGCCUAACGUACCCCUAGCGUAUGUCAGCGUAUACCGGCGUAUGGGUGAUAUUUUUCAUACGCUGGCAUACGCUAGUACGAUACGCAAUAGUGUGACAGGGCCUUAAGAACAAGUGUAUGUUAAAUGUAUAAAACUCUCAAAGUUGAGAUUUCCAUCCAUAAAAGCCUUUCUACAAUUGAUUAAGAACAACUGUUCGGGAUUAAUUUCGAUACGGAUGAAACCUUGUCUUCACUUUCCCAUCGUGUUAGAAUUUUACCGCUAAAUAUCCUUGGUCAGGGUCUAUCCCCGGAUGUUUGUGGGUCGCCCUUUGUUGACUCGCCAACCGCGGUUAGUGACUUUUGCCAGAAUCAUGUUUAAAAUCACCGUAGUCUCUGUGUGUGCGCAGAAACAGAGCUGUUCAACGGGACGUGUAGGGAUUCUGUGCAUAUAUUCGCAACAGUGGAAUCAGUAAAUAUCGUGGCUCUCGACAUAGCUUAUUGUGAGGAACUGCAGGGAAUCCUGAGACACUAAACGCGGUAAAGGAUAUAUUUAUUUUUCUUUAGUAAUAAUAGAAAUUGUUUUUCUUUUUGUUUGUUCUUGUUUGUAAACAACUUAUUUGUAUUGAUGUUAUGAAAUAUAAAUUAUCGCCAGUAGAUUCUAGCAUCUUCUUACAUGCAGUAAAUCUGACUAUAAGUUAACUCUACCAAACCUCACCACGCUUGCCUUUCAUGCUGGGAGUCCCGGGUUCAGUCCUUGCUCGGACCUCUACUCAAGGUCUUAAAAUAAUUGAGGAGAAAGUGCUACCUUUACAUUGACAUCAGUAAAUGGUUAGACUUUCGCGUCUUCUCGGAUAAGGACGUUAAAUCGUAGGUACCUCGGAUCCCCAAUCAAUUGGGCAAUACUCGAUAGCUUGUUGGGAAAUUCGCUCACCAAUGAGUGAGGAACUCAAUGAACUCCAAGAUUUUUCCAAAUAAUUUGUUCUAUAGUAAUACUACAUAUAUUGGAUCUCUGGGGAGAACUUAUAGACUCGCACACGGAGCUAUUUUGUAUAAAUAAAGGUCUGAUUUCGGAGUGAUGCAAAAAUAUCUUGCACACAGAAUGUCGAGCCUCACAUUCCAAUCUCGUCCAUUUACGCAUGCUUCCCACUGUAUUAAUCCAUAACCGUUAAUCCUGAAAUGCGCAAACAUGGCGACGCGUUUACUUUGCGAUAAUUAAACAUAAUUCGCACAAUACUUGUCGCAUGCACACAAUGAAUGCUUGAUCAAUAUCAGGAUACUGACGUCCUCAUAGUUUUUGGAAUAUGAACUAUGACGUCACUGGUUGGAUUUUCCAAAUUCCAUUUUCUCUUUGUACAAACGUUAAUGAAAGAGAUGAUCCUUACUAGGCCUUUAGAGAGAACAGUUUAGAACUGACAGAGCAAUCCAGUAUAAGUAAAGUUGGUUUAGUUUAGGUUUCCUCCUGCAUAGUAACACUGGAUCAAUAAGAGAUGAUCCUUACUGGACCUCUAGGAAGAACAGUUUAGAACUGAUAGAGCAAUCCAGUAUAAGUAAAGUUGGUUUAGUUUAGGUUUCCUCCUGUAGUAACACUGGACGAAUAAGAGAUGAUCCUUACUAGACCUCUAGGAAGAACAGUUUAGAACUGAUAGAGCUAUCCAGUAUAAAUAAAGUUAGUUUAGUUUACGUAGUCUAACACUAGGGUAAUAAGAGAUGACCUUUUGAUCGACCUUCAUAGAACAGUUUAGGACUGAUAGAGAUAUCCAGUAUAAAAAUCUUAUAAUGUACUGUAUCAUAUAAUGAGAAUCUGACAUUCCAAUGUCGUCCUGUCUCGCAGCUCAUUAAUCCAUAACCUUUUAACAUGUAGUUGAAAUGCGCAAACAUGGCCAACGUUUACUUUGCGAUAAUUAAACAUAAUUCUCACAAUUCAUGUCAUGAUUGAACUCAUAAAACAUGCCCGCCCACUGAAAGACGACGUUUGUAACUAUAUCGCAUUGUCGUGCUUGGCCCGGUCAUGUAAACCCAACCCUUGAGGACUUAAUCACUCUGCUUUGUUCCUUCAGGUUGUGGGUGGCCUGAGAUUAGCGUUUUACGCAAGGAGAAUUUGAAUAGCGUGGUACACUCUGAUUCACGAGAGCUGUAGUGCAGAGGAGUUUAUGAGAGCAAAACGGAUUUGGCCGUCAGAGAGGAUAAUUCGCUUAUAAUCUGAGGUAUGUAUCGAGCUUAUUAAUGAUAGAUAUAAUGUAUCACCAUGUCCACGGUAAUGUCUAGCACCAUGCCGGUAUAAAAUGGUAAAUUAUGCUGCCACUUUUUAGCAUAUAGAGCGAAGCUGCUCUGACCAUACUGAUAGCCGCAUUUAGGGCGCUCUCUUUGAGACUUUGAUAUUACGGGGUUAGCUCUUAAAUGUUUAACAUACAUUCAUAUUCAGUUCUUGUUCGAAUCUAAAUUUUACCAUAUUGGUAAUGUAAUUCAAUUAGCUUUCGAAUGAAUUUAUUUGUGGUACUUUGGUUGAAUGUGACGUCACGGCGUGUCGCAACUCGGCGAGAGAUGCGUUCUCUUUGAACCGGCAAAUUUGCGCACAUUUUCAGGCUAUCAUCGGUUACCGCCAUGCAACUUUUCUUUUCGACAUUGAUGACAUAUUGUCAAUUCUAUAGAGAUCCUUUUGAUUUCUACGUUAGAAAUUACAAAUCGAUGUCAGUUAGACUAAUAACAUACUGGCCCGAUUGCAUUUUGCUAAAGGAAAUAGGGUUGCAUAUUUAACUCGAAUUCUUCAUGUUGACAUACACUCGUGAGAACGUUUAUAGAAUAAACUAGCAUUAACUUAAAACCCAUCGGGGAAUCCCUGGAGGGGGGGGGGGGGGGGGUAGCGUGGUCGAUCACACCGCCUCUGAUUAUAAUUAGAAGAAAAUCAAAGAUCGCUACUGAUCCUGGCCAGAGCAGCAUUCAGGAUCUUGAAAUAUUUAAAGAACAAGGUUUUAGGAAGCAAGGAUCUCCCAAGGGUGAAGGAAACAAGACUACUUUUGCAAUGGGAACACAGAAUAAAGCCGAAAAAUCAUAGUGGGCAAGGGAACUUGUAAGAUUAGAGAUCAAGGGGACAUGGUCAAAUUUUUGUGGGGAACGAGGGAACGAAUGAAAAAUUUGCAAGGGAACACAGAAACACAGCCGGACUUCAUUGGUCGAAAGCUGCACUUGAUUAGCUCUUCACGUCUUCUCGGAUAAGGAUUUAUGUCUUUUGACUGAAAUGCAGUGAUGAAGAUUGAAAAAAUAUUUCACUCUAUUUGACUGUAUCGCCCAAACUGUGGGAUCAACUCUCAUGCAACUCUUGUUCUCGUUUGACCUGGGCAUGAAAACUCUCAUGCAAACUCUCGCUUCUCAACUCUCAUGCAAACUCUCGCUUCUCGACUCUCAUCAACUCUCAUGCAACUCUUGUUCUCGUUUGACCGGGGCAUGAGAGUUGAGAAAACUCUCAUGCAAACUCUCGCUUCUCAACUCUUAUCAACUCUUCAUCCCUGACCUUGUUCAACCGGUUCUUUACUGUAUAUACUGUACAGGUGGUCUUUAAACCCAACUUCUAUUGACUAGUCGUAAUGUCGGUUUAACUCUGAUAUGUCAAUACAACAAAUGCAGCAUUUAACCACACAGACUGUUUUAACGCAAUUAACCUUGAGCUACAACUCGGCUUAAGUUUCCAAAUCAGUUUCCCGGCUUCUAUAGGGACGAUUCCGGUCUCACGUGGAUUUUUCAUGCAUUUCCGUGACAUGUUGGACUUAUGUCAAUCUUUUUUGAACUUUAAAGCAGUUUGGAUGUUUUCUUAAGAAAGUUUUCAUAACAAAUCUAAUGCAAAUUUUAAAGUCAAUACAUCAUUUUCCAUUCUUGUGUACAUUUGGGGUCACAUGAGGUCAUUCCCAAGGUCUGGGAAAGAGAAGAUGUUUGUCAACUCGGAACGGUAAAUGGAGUUGUCAGACGACAUCACAUCGUCACCAUAAGUGAGAAUACCUUUUAACUUGAAAGAGUUUGACCUAUAGUAUAGGGGUGGAGUUUUAUCAAGAUUUUUGUUGCGAGAUAAUACAAGUUUAGGUCGAAAUUAUGAGAAAUAGUGCGACAUAGAUGAGAGAAUUACUGCUAAACGACUUUUGUAGCAUAUUUUGUGUUCAAUAUAUAGACUACAGUAAGACUUUUUUUAAAUGUGUUUAUUACAUGAUUUACUCCGUCUAUAUAUUGAACACAAAAUAUACGUUUAGUUCGUUCCUAAACACUUUUGUAGCGUUAAGUUUGCACGAAGGCUGUUCAGUUCUAUUAGAAUGUUAGGGUUUGUAAUCCAAGUGAGUAUAUAUACAUUAAUUCCACCAAGUGAAGUGCAAGAAUCCAAAUCAUUGCUCAGUUCUAUUGUCUAGUAUUGAUACGUUUUUACUUAAAUUUAUAUAAUUUAUUAAAAUAGAUUUUAGAGUUCUACGUGGAUUAGACAAUAUUUUUACCAGGCACAUGUUUGCACUGACCUACAAAUGACAGCGGUUAAUUUGUAAUAUUUUAAAUUCUAUUUUAUCCUUUCUUUCAAUAAUUCACCCAUGCUUGCAGAUAUCAUUAAAUUAUACGACGUUGUAAUAAGAUAUUAGGGAGCUUAAUUAGCCAUUAGCUAUACCGAUGUUCGGGUGACGUCACUUGCUUAAAUAAGCUCACUAUUUUGGACUGGGAGUCUAUAUGUAAGAUGAACUUUGAACGGUCGUUUGAAUUUAGACCUCGUGAACAAAUGAAUUGUUAAACUCUCAAAACUUUACAACUAUAUUAAACUCUCAAAAAUAGACUAUUAAACUCUCAAAACUUAAACUCUAAGACUAUUAAACUCUCAAAGAGGUGGUUGUAUUUUUGGGUGGUUUGUUGAUGUCAUAAUGUUUCGAGUGAACUUGAGUCCAUUUACUAAAUCACCGUGACCUCAGUUUGUUCCAAAAGAAAACGACUUAUUUCAAAAGAUAUUUCAGGACCGAAGAUAUUUAAUGACAUGAGGCAUUAUAAUGAAUCAACCAUGCAUGCCAGAAAAAUGACCUCAAGGCUAUUUAAUGGCCGUGUAAUAAUCGUGACAGUACAUUAGCAUUGCGUGUGAGAUUUACCCCAAUCGGUCCAUUAGUGAGAUAUUGCAAAAUACCCAAUACAAACAGGGAUUAGUUAUCUUCAAACAACGACAUGCAAUCGUAAUGGUGUAGAUCCCCCUUAACUUAAGGUGGCUAUGGAACAUUUUUCACUACUGCAUCAAUUUUUUCUUUUAAAGUUGCAUUUUGUUCGACAGUGUGAUACGCAAAUUAAUACGGUGAAUUUUUUAAAACUAUAAUUUCUAAUUAAUACAUUGAUUUAACACCAUGAGAUUGUGUGCACACAGUACAAAACAUGUUUGCUUUGCUAAUCCUGGCUUUUAGCGCGAUCGCGUUUAAGAUAUUAAAGAAUUAAUGUAUAACCGAUAACGAUUCAUCGACGAAGUCUGGAAGAUUCGUCAUGAAAUAUUCAUUAGAUACAGAAUGCGUUAAAUACAUUUACUUAGCAAAUUAUUAAACGGUAGGCCCAUGACGUAAUGAACAACAUAUGGAUACCACAUUUUUGCAGCACUAUAUCGCCUGAUGACGUAAUCAUGACGUCAUCUGGGACAUACCCAAAAGAUAUGCGUAUCCAACUAUUUAAUACACAAAAUCAGUUUGUGACUCGUGUAAACCCUCUUUCUACUCAGCAAACAAGCUCCUUAAUUUAUAGAACGAAGAACACAUAAUACCCAUUUCUAAGGCAGUUUGACCAAGUUUAGAUCGACUGCACAUCCAAAUGACUCGUUCCAGAGAUGAGGGUCAUAUUGUAAUUGAAUUAUAUAAAGUGCAGACUAAAGAUUUCAAACAUGUUCAUAUGUCAAUACGUAUUAAAAAAUAUUCACUGAUCCAUGCUAAGCGUUCCCAGUGCAGUUUACAGUAGAUUGUUUGAUUUUAAUAUUGCAGUGCAUCACUAUAAAAAGAUAUGACGUGCAUUUCACGUUGCGUUGUCGCGUGAAUGUCUCUUCUCUAUUUAAGGUAUAAUACAUCACACCCAAUUGUAAUUGAAGCGGUCAUGUUUUAACCAUUAAAACAUCUUCAAGUUAUCCUUUCAAUCAGAUGCAUGUUUUUACACUCAACUCUCGCAAACAAAAUGAAAUGAGUUUUGAAAGGUAAUAAAUAAGCGCGCAAUCUGCUCGCGAAUUGACGCACAAUGAAUUUAUCACUGAUAGCGUAGCACUGUACAUGUGUAGUGGACCAGAGAUAAUUUCUAGAUUACAUGUACUCUGACAUUGCUGCAAAACAGCUGUGCUGAUUUGUCCUGAAUUUUUGGCAUCUCACAAGAAAGAAUGCCAAUAGUCACAACUCACAACUACAGACUCUGUAGCUCAAUGGUUAGAGCAUUGCAUCACAGAACUGUAGGUUCAAUUCCUGCCCAAGACGCUAUAUAUAUAAUUGUAUUUUUGGAACCUGGAGUUUUCGGCUAAGCACAAAAACCUUUGGACCAAUUUGUUCAUUUGCUCUGAUCAGCCAAAUCAAGAUGGUUUAAGUGGUGUUAAUUAACUACCUUCUCAAGGCUAUAUAUGAUAAUGAUAUUAAAAGCUUUGGGAUACAAAAAUACUCCAAGUAUCUAUACCUAUAGACGAUGCAUGUUUUCAUUUGUAAAGACUGGUUUAUACUAUCAAACUUUCUGUGAUCACCGUAUGAAUUUUGUAUUGGUAAAUUUUUGAAAGAUUUGUAAGAAAUGUUUGAGGAAAUUGACUCUGUGUUUAACACAAUAAAAUCAGUUUCCUCAAACAUUUCUCACAAACUUUUCAAAACUUAGGAUUUACCAAUGCAAAAUUCCUACUGUGAUCACAGAAACUUUGAUAGUGUAAACCCUUAAAGCUCGCUAUGAACAUUGAUCUCAUAGAGCAUGUAGUAUGUUGUGCAUAUGAAGCAAGCUAGGUGGUGGGUCCCUUAUGAAUAUUAUCUAAAUUGAUCUGACUUCCAUGAUUGACUACUUAAUACACCGUAAUAACCGGUGUUGUGAACGGUAUUACUACUUAUUGUGGAAACGUGAGAUAAUGAAAUUAAACUGCACAUAUUGUCAUAUAGAGAAGCUCUGUAGACCGAAGAGACCUUGAGUAGCCCACAUUCAUGAGGUACCAUCUUUACAGUGUGGAUCAGUAGAUGGUAUAGAUAAAGUUUUGUAUAUUACCAUCUGUGCAACAUUUUCGUCUUCAAUUUGAAAGGAUAUCCUUAUUUAAAACCAAUAUUUCAGAUAAAUAUCACAUCUUUAUCUUUUCUGGGAUGUAAAUACCGCACCUGUGAACAUUGAAUUUUAAUUUCCUGUCCUUCCAACGCUAUUUGCUGGUUAUCAGAAUUUAAAUUGGAAAUGCUCUAUGGCACUACAAGUUACUACAGCAGUUAGCUAUUGAAGUUACUUUCCUAUUCUACCACCCUUAAACUUUUAACAAUUUAUUAGUCUUGAGAUGACAAUUGAGCCUCCAUUACAUAUGUCUGGCAUUAAAUAAAUGACAGCCGCCCCACUUGCUUUGCCAAGAAAAGUAGUAUACCAAUGAAAUAUUCGCAUGACCCCUCCCUACUUUGUAAUGUUAAGAUUUUGAACUUACAGUUAGCUACAAGGACUGCAUGUUCAUAAGUUUUACACACUUUAGAAGGAACUACAGCGGGUUUUUAAGAUUGGAACCACUGAUGAAAACGUCAACAACAUGUUGAUACCAGCGAUACAGCAUGAUAAAUCUACCAUACUUAAUUAACCAUUGUCCAAAACAUAUUCAAAAGCAACAACAACAACAACAACAACAACAACGAUUUGCAUGAUAAGUUCUUCUCUUGCCAUAUUGCCGACAUAGUAAAUGUUUGGGAGUGGUGUAUUUUAGUGGCGAAGGUAGCCUUGGCUAUGCUAAUAAACCUGCAUUUAAAUAGGUGUAUUUAAUUGAUUUCGCCCAGUAGUAUUUACAAGAAUAGUAAUUAUGUAAAAUAAGGCCUAGAGGUCUACUAGAAACCUGGACAGGCUUUUGAAUUAAGACCCCUUACUAAGGACAAUACAUUUCGAAAAGUUUGAAUAAUGAAAAUCAUUAAACAUUUGCAUAUCAUGAGCUGUUGCUAUGGCUACCUCGCCACUAGUAUGUUUGAUUGGUAGCAACAUGAUCGAAUUCAAGUAGUUCUAGCAGGAUUGAUAGAAAUGAGCAACCUAAAAAUGAUGCCUCCUCAGUCUAAGACUACGGGGUACUAACAUAUAUUGCAUGCAGAAGGCAUUCACAACUGUUAUAUAGCAUUCAUCCAUAAAAUGUCCCAAUAAAUAUGUUUUAUAAAUCUUGUUAUCCUUAACGAAGUCGUGUUAUUCUAAAUGUUGUUCUUUAAAUCAACAAACGAGGUUAUUAUAACUAAAUUGCGUGCAUUGUAUGGCGAUAAAAUCACACAUGAGUUCAUUUGACGAUAACACUGUCCCCAACAGCAUGAUGUGGCUUGGCGCGAUAAUUCGACAGCGAUCCUUAUCUGCGCGCAUUGUAUGCAAAUGAGGCGUGUGUCUUUUCACUAUUGUCUACACUAGCCACGCACGUUCACCAAUCGUAUUAAUGCGCAAUUCGUCUCGCGCUCAUCAGCAUUCCCACGGUAUUAUAACAAACAUCGGUUUACACUUUGGGUGAAUGGAUAUGAAACGACGGUAUUGAAUAGCGAAUAGAUAAUUGGGUAAGUGGUUAUGAACUUUCAAUUUAGAUAGCUAGCCAAAUUAUAGGCGGGCUUCACUAGGCACUAGCGAGCAGAUGAUGGUCAACCUCCAGUAAUCAGAAUGAGAAAUUAUAUUUUUUCGUCUCACUAUCUGUAGUACGUAUGUUUCAAUGUCUCUGAAGUGCACCAGAAUAUGUUUCCAGAAUAUGUUUCCUUGUAUAACCCCGCAGUUGCUAGUAAAGGGAUCGCUGCAUAAUGCUGCAUUAGUUUGGUACAUUUAUCACCCAGGUUUUAAAGGUCAGGACGGUCAAUGGACCAAAACUAAUAAGCUCGCUACUUACGCCUCGAUCAAGGCGGAGAGAGAAAGGUUGAGGAGGUUUUAUGAUAUGUCUCAUUCAGUUUCCAGGGGUUUAAAGUCGCCCAAAUUCUAUGGGAAAUGUUGUUUGACCUCGCUGUGCCCUCGUGUGUGAGUGAUGUUGUUUUAAACCUUGUAUAGCUGUUACAGAUGUGAUUUCGGACGAACUUAAUGCAUUUUAUGGUAUAAUUUAGUAAUUAACGGACUGGCAAUGAGAUCAGUUCUCGUAAAGGUCGCAAUUAUGAGUGCACAUAUUGUUUGAGAAAUCCGCUGACACUUCGAAAGCUGUAUUGCUUUUCUGAUUAUUAAAUUUGGAGCUACGCCAGGGUUACCGUACGAGUAUAAUUAAAACGGAGAAUUGUGACGUUCACUGUACUAAAUUGGGUCAAUGAUUUUUAUUCUGAGCUACCAUUGUUCUUAUCUCUGUUUUUUUAAGCUGAAACAAUAGUAACUCGUUUUAAAUUUGAUAUAUUGACACACGUUAGGGAGCGACCAUUAGAAAAGUUAAUCAUGGGUGGGGAAUUUUCAGCUUGUAAGAUUUUUUCGACCGCCUGCUUGUGCGGGAAUUCAAGUCAAAGUUAGUUUAGUUUCGGUUUCCUUCUGUAGUAACACUGGAUCAAUAAGAGAUAAUUAUCCCUUAGUGGACCGUUUAGAACUGAUAAAAAUAUCCAGUAUAAAUAAAGUUAGUUUAGUUUAGGUUUCCUUCUGUAGUAACACUGGAUCAAUAAGAGAUAACCCUUAGUGGACCGUUCAGAACUGAUAAAGAUAUCCAGUAUAAAUAAAGUUAGUUUAGUUUAGGUUUCCUCCUGUAGUAACACUGGAUCAAUAAGAGAUUACCCUUAAUGGACCUUUCAGAACUGAUAAAGAUAUCCAGUAUAAAUAAAGUUAGUUUAGUUUAGGUUUCCUCCUGUAGUAACACUGGAUCAAUAAGAGAUGGCCUCUAGGAAGAACAGUUUAGAACUGAUAGAGCCAUCCAGUAUAAAUAAAGUUAGUUUAGUUUAAUGCCAAACCGUUUAUAGCCAUGAUUUACACCGCGACCUGUAUCAGGCUGAUGACUUUAUCACUAAUAACAAUCCCAAUUCGCGCUGUCCACUUGACGAAUGAUAUUUGUUUCAGCCUACAGUGUUAUAGUAUGACUCCCUUGACCUGCCCCUCAGAACUGUGAAAACAACAGCAUUAGUCAUUUUUUUAUCUAAGUGAUAAACUGCCCUAACUAUUUGGCUUGUCGUUAGAGAGUGCACGACGACAGCGCUCUGUUUACUCUCAGUCGCAUCUGCUAUCAGAUUGUUAGAAGGUGAAGUACAAUGGGGUGUGCUUAUCAUGCUUAUUAGCAGCUGAGAGCUAAGCUGAAUUGCGAUGGAUACAGCUCAACCUGGUCGAGUCGAAGGCUUUCUAAGGGUUCCUUAAAUCCUUUGGCAGCCACCUUAUGACUGUCUGAUCACAGAGGACAGCUACGAUGGAAGGGUCAGUUGGGGCAACCAGUGAACUCUACAUAACUCUCGUCUCUCUUAGAGUUUACAGGGGCUAACUUACACUAGCACUGAUGAAUUCCACUUUGGGAAUUCGUAUAUGCACAUUUGAAUUCUUCCAUUCUCGGCUGAUAUUAUGAUUGAAUACAAAUUUUGUCCAUAUAUAUCACAGUAUCAUGAGGAAAAUAUCGAGAAGACCCUCUAACUUAUAUUCGCAGAUUAUUGGGGUUAAAAAAGGUGUUUCCACAAACGCAAAGGAUACUAUAUGAUUAUAUCUUCAUGUAAUUCAGACAGAGCCGCCGCGAGGUUGCGCGGGACCGGGGCAAACCUUUCCCAGGAGCUCCUAUGACGUCAUAAAACAGGAGAAGUAGUGUUUUACAAUAUAUUACACUUUACUGUAAAUAAUCCAGCAAUGACGCAGCUGCGACUUUUAUUCUCGGUUAAGCAAUCUUGUAUGAAGAAAAUUUAAUAGCCUUUGUCCCUUGGGGCCCCCCUUAAUUUUGAGUUGGUGGCCCGGGGUAAAAUACUCCCUCCCCGAGUGAUAUAUUCGUACGCUAGUGAACCCAAUACAGAGAGAUACGGGACCAUAACCUAUGUGUUCUUUGCCAUGUCCAAACCACUGGUUACUCGCGUGCCGUGGGCGUUUUGUUUCGCAUGUAUUUACCGUUUUACGCGCGCUAAUUAAGAAGGAUUAGAUCUUGGGCUCAUUGAAAUCAUUUAUCACAAUGAUGUAAUAAAUGAUGCUUGCUAAAUUAUAAAGAUUUGAUAUUAAUUGGCCGCAUGCGUUUUGGUAGGCCAAAAUAUUUCUCAAAUUAAGAGGAUUUUAUCUUAAGCCAAUUGAAACUAAUUAAUUGCAGUGAAUGUAAUUAUGUAACAAAUAAUGUUUGGUACGCCAAAACGUUGCUCAAGAGGGAUUUUAUCUUAAGCCAAUUGAAACAAAUUGAUUGCAGUGAAUGUAAUUAUGUGAAAAAUAAUGAUUGUUAGUUGCCUUGCAAAGUCAUGCCGCGGGCGUUUUGAGUUCUCGAUUAAAGUAGGAUUAAUCUUAAGCCAAAUCAAAUUAAUUGCAGUGCAUAAGCAAUAAUGAAAAUAAUCUCAUUGCUAUUUGCCUUCAAAAGCAAUCGAGUCUGACGUAGGCUAAUACAUUCUCUGCAUACAUGAAUUAAAUUGUCAAUCACUUUCAAGCAAUGGUCCAUAUAUCGUAUGCAAGAAUUAAUCCAUGUUUUUGGGAAAGGAAAUUGUGAAAGCAAUACUUGUCAUUUUGUCUUCUUAUGAUAAAAUGUGCCGUGUUGACGUGCAUUUAUUUACUUGAUAUUUAUAUUAUCUAUGAUACUGGAUUUUGAUUUAUCAGUUCUAAACUUCUUGGUAUGUCGAUGGAAGAUUCAACUCUAUUUAUUCAACUGUGCACCAUAUGGCAAGGAGGGCGGGAUAGUCUCACAAAACUGCGAUAAUCUUCACAAAUGUUUGCAAAUUAAAAGCAAUUCGUCUAGGGUGACAAGACUGCUUCAGAAUGCUCGUAAACGAGGACGAUUUUUACACAAAUUCUAGCAAAUUAAUAAUUGCUGUUCUGUUAAAAUUACACCUUUUUGAAAAUGAUCAUUAACUUUGUGCUUCUUGUUCACAACUGGAAGUCCACAGCCAAAACCGCAGAAUUCAAAUUAUUUCUUCGUUAUCAGGAAGAACGGUUUAGAACUGAUAGAGCCAUCCAGUAUAAAUAAAGUUAGUUUUGUUUAGGUUUCCUCCUGUAGUAACACUAGAUCAAUAAGAGAUGAUCCUUACUAGACCUCCAGGAAGAACAGUUUAGAACUGAUAGAGCUAGAUAUCCAGUAUAAAUACAGUUAGUUUAGUUCUGUUUAGUUCGGUAGUGUAGUCAAGUUCUGUAGUAACACUGGAUCGAUAAGGGUUGGCUCUUACUGAAUUACAGUUUAGAACUGAUAGAGCUAUUCAGUAGAAAUAAUUAGUCAGUUGCUUGCUUAAUAAUUGGAAUGUCACAGUCAGUGUUAGCUUAUCAUCGUUAAUCAGGUGCGAAAUGAAGCAUUUUGCUUCGGCCUUUCACUGACAUAGUGACAUAACCAUCUACAAAGCAUCAAACUGCCUUGAUAUUUAUCUCGCUUUUCAAUCUACAGUACUCCAUUUCAUUGAGUACACAUCUCAUGAUUUGACUACGAGGUGUGCUACAUAACCUGAACUCUUCAUUCUUGGAAUCUUGGACUGGCAAAUGUAUGAUGUGAUCAUGAUCCGAAAAUAAAUUGUAGGAAAAACACCAAAACCUAAGCGCCCACGAUGAAAUAAGGAAUAUUAUUGCAGUAAUAUUGCUUUCUAACCAUGUUUCCUGAAGGACAAACCAGGAAAGAUUGUUUCCUAGCCAUGUUUCUCAAAGGUGGACAAACCAGGAAACAUUGUUUCCUAGCCAUGUUUCCUGAAGGUGGACAAACCAGGAAACAUUGUUUGCUAGUCAUGUUUCCCAAAGGUGGACAAACCAGGAAACAUUGUUUCCUAGCCAUGUUUCCCAAAGGUGGACAAACCAGGAAACAUUGUUUCCUAGUCAUGUUUCCCAAAGGUGGGCAAACCAGGAAACGUUGUUUCCUAGCCAUGCUUCCCAAACGUGGGAAACAUUGUUUCCUAGCCAUGUUUCCCAAAGGUGGACAAACCAGGAAACAUUGUUUCCUAGCCAUGUUUCCCAAAGGUGGACAAACCAGGAAACAUUGUUUCCUAGCCAUGUUUCCUGAAGGUGGACAAACCAGGAAACAUUGUUUGCUAGCCAUGUUUCCCAAAGGUGGACAAACCAGGAAACAUUGUUUCCUAGCCAUGUUUCCCAAAGGUGGACAAACCAGGAAACAUUGUUUCCUAGCAUGUUUCCCGAAGGUGGACAAAUCAGGAAACAUUGUUUCCUAGCCAUGUUUCCCAAAGGUGGACAAACCAGGAAACAUUGUUUCCUAGCCAUGUUUCCCAAAGGUGGACAAACCAGGAAACAUUGUUUCCUAGCCAUGUUUCCUGAAGGUGAACAAACCAGGAAACAUUGUUUCCUAGCCAUGUUUCCUGAAGGUGAACAAACCAGGAAACAUUGUUUCCUAGCCAUGUUUCCUGAAGGUGAACAAACCAGAAAACAUUGUUUCCUAGCCAUGUUUCUCAAAGGUGAACAAACCAGAAAACAUUGUUUCCUAGCCAUGUUUCCAAAGGUGGACAAACCAGAAAACAUUGUUUCCUAGCCAUGUUUCCUGAAGGUGGACAAACCAGGAACUGUAGAAUAAAUUGGCAACUCACAACAGAGAUACUGACUGUGCCAAGUUCAAACAUACAGAUUAAAGUUUAAAAACAAAGUAAAACAAUGUUUGCGAAACAAUAAUCUCAUUUGUUGCUAAUAAUUUUUCUUUCCUGAGGGGAAAUGUUUUAUCCAGAAGAAAAUUUUCGAGGGUGUCAUAAAUAGGGAAAUAGUUUAGAAAAUGUCAAGAGUUUCAGGUGGCUAAAAGCCAAAUAUUUCCGGUGUAGCUUUCAUACGCCUUAAGGUUCAUUUGUUUUCGGCUAAACUGCAAGUCAAGUUUAAGUGUGAGUUAAGUUUAUUAGUUGGAAAAUAAAGUUCUCAAUUCAGAGCAAAAUCGCAAAGGAUUACUGAGGGGUAGUAUAACCCACGCAUAAGCUCGACUUUAUUGCUUAUUUUUUAUAGAAAUAUUAUUGUACUAAUGAAUAUCCGGCCUUACUGAUCCACAAAACAAAUAGAUGUGUUUAUUUUCUUUUUUGAGUUGUGAACUAUCAACAGUGACCAGUGACUUGCGUCUUCGUUGAGUCCAUGAUUCCAGUCCAGGUUAUCUAUCGCUUGUCGCAAGCUGCUGCAAAUUAGGCUACAAUCUUGAACGCGAUGACCUGGGAAAGCUAGCGAAUAUAUCCAUGUAAUACAUGUGUAGUAAUACAGUCUCUCGUACUUGCUGUUGUGUGUGUUCUAACUUUGCUUUACAUUCUAGGGUGUUUGUUGUUUCACACACCGUGCUUUCGUUAAGACAUUGUUUUGAUUGGGCAGCUCUUGCAUACCCUGAGGGGCCGACCUGCCGUGUACACUAUCAACGGAUCGUCUUGGUCAUUCUAUACUCGUAACCUCGCUUGCUACCGCUGUAGUCCAAACAACACUUCUCCCGAGACCAGCCACAUUGGGACAGAACCAAUCACCAUCAACGCGUACCAAUGGAUCUGCCAUCAACCAGCACAUGGUUACUGCUAAUUCAGCUCGCUGCAUUCUUUCAAACUCGUACAGUCGCCAACGAACACCGUCUACAGUUCAACGAUAGUAAGUGACCUUAUAAUUUUAACGCCUAAAAAACUGUUACUUGUGGGAAUGUUGCAAAUUAGCCAGCUCAAACUGUUGCAUGUAUCCUUGUUGGAUUACUGUAUCAAAAUAUUAGACGUUUGUAAACAGUGUUUUCUUAGCCGCCCAAAGGAAACACAAUUUCAUAAAUACAAACUUGUAUUCUUGCAAGAUUGUUUAAGAAUUCAAUAUUGUGUUAUCAACGUAACGUUGAGUCAAUCAGGAUUUCAAGGUGCAUAUUUCGCGAACAGAACUCUGGAAUCCGCUAGGCCGAGGGCAAAAGUUAACCUUUAUUUAUGUUGACGAUAUAGUGUUAGACUUUCCAUAUGAAAUGGCUCUGAAUAAGGCUACUUGUUAAUUCCUAACUGAUGUACCCAAUAAUUUGACGCAAUUUAUUUUGAUUUUGUUUUAAUUUCUAGACGCGCAAACCGAGACAUCGAACACGUUUGAAAUCAUCGACAUAGCAUUUCCUCAACGAACCACAUCCAAUGCAACUUCACACAAAUCAAACCAUUUCCUAACAUUCACACAGAGACACCAAGAACGAGAGAUUCGCUACAAUUUAACAACUUUUGGAAAAGUGUUUCACUUCGUCCUUAAACCAGAGAAAAGGUUCAUCGCGCCUUCGUUCAGCAUCGAACAUUACUCCGGUAAUCAUUCGGAAUCAAUUCCCUCCGGUGCUGACCUCUCACAUUGUUAUUAUCGGGGGAGGGUACACAACGAUUCCGCGUCGUCAGCUGUUUUUGAUCUAUGUACUGGCAUG